rnacentral:rRNA from 1 species
GACGAACGCUGGCGGCGUGCUUAACACAUGCAAGUCGAGCGGAAAGGCCCUGCUUUUGUGGGGUGCUCGAGUGGCGAACGGGUGAGUAAAACGUGAGUAACCUGCCCUUGACUUUGGGAUAACUUCAGGAAACUGGGGCUAAUACCGGAUAGGAGCUCCUGCUGCAUGGUGGGGGUUGGAAAGUUUCGGCGGUUGGGGAUGGACUCGCGGCUUAUCAGCUUGUUGGUGGGGUAGUGGCUUACCCAGGCUUUGACGGGUAGCCGGCCUGAGAGGGUGACCGGCCACAUUGGGACUGAGAUACGGCCCAGACGCCUACGGGAGGCAACAGUGGGAAAUUUGGCACAGUGAGCGGAAGCCUGAGACAGCAGCGCCGCGUUCGGGAAGACGGCCUUCGGGGUAUAAACCGCUGUCGCCUGAGACGAAGCGGGAGUGACGGUAAUGAGUAAAGAAGCACCGGCUAACUACGUG